CGCCUUUUUAUUUUGCUUUUUGUGUAAUUUUGGAGGUGUUAAACUGUGAAACUGUUAAAGUUUUUGGUCUACGUGUGUACUUUUGUAAAAAUUGGACGCGUUGACUGUGAAAUUGUUACUUUUGUGUAAUUUUGGAGGUGUCAAACUGUGGAAUUGUUAAGUUUUUGGUCUACGUGUGUACUUUUGUAAAAAUUGGAGGUGUUGACUAUGAAAUACUAGUUACUUUUGUAGAAUUUGGAGGUGUUAACUGUGAAAUUGUUAUGUUUUUGGUCUACGUGCGUACUUUUGUAAAAAUUGGAGGUGUUGACUAUGAAAUAGUUACUUUUGUGUAAUUUUUGAGGUGUAUUAACUAUGAAUUGUUAAGUUUUUGGUGUACGUGUGUACUUUUGUAAAAAUUGGAGGUUUUGACUAUGAAAUUGUUACUUUUGUGUAAUUUUGGAGGUGUUAACUUGUGGAAUUGUUAAGUUUUUGGUCUACGUGUGUACUUUUGUAAAAAUUGGAGGUGUUGACUAUGAAAUAGUUACUUUUGUGUAAUUUUGGAGGUUUAAACUGUGGAAUUGUUAAGUUUUUGGUCUACGUGUGUACUUUUGUAAAAAUUGGAGGUGUUGACUAUGAAAUUGUUACUUUUGUGUAAUUUUGGAGGUGUUAACUGUGGAAUUGUUAAGUUUUUGGUCUACGUGUGUACUUUUUUGUAUAAUUUGGAGGUGUUAGCUGCGAAAUUAUUAGAUUUUUGGCCUAGGAGUGUACACAGUAAGUUUGAACAAACACAGAUAAAUUUUAAUCAGGAGCAAUUAGUGUUUGAAUUGGAGUGAUCUUCAUUUCUGUGAGUAAAACCGAAUUUUGACUAGGAAUGAUAACGGUUCUGUGCUUAUAGGAGUUUUAUUUUCCUUUUUGUUGUAGAAUUUGGAGGUUUUGGCUAUGAAAUUGUUAAUUGUUUGGUCUAGUUUUUAUACAGUAAGUUUGAACAGCAUAGGUAAUUUAAUUGGAGUAAUCGACAUUUCUGUGAAUAGACAGGCUUUUGAUUUUGCUUUUUUUGUAUAGAACUUGGAGGUUUUGGCUGUGAAAUUGUUAAGUUCUUUGGUCUAUGUGUGUACUUUUGUAUAUCUUGGAGGUGUUUGGCUAUGAAAUUUUCUUAGUUAUUCUGUCUAGGUGUGUACACUGUAAGCUAGAACACCAUAAAGAGUUAUCCAAAGCAUUAAUGUUUGAAUUGGAGUAAUCCUCAUUUCUGUGCAUAUGAGUGAAUUUUGAAUAGAACAGAUAACUGUUUUCUGCAGAGCGAUUAGUGUUUGAAAAGCAGCUUUUGCAGUUAUGCUUUAUUUUGCUUUUUUGUGUAGAAUUUGAAGGUCUUAGCUGUGAAAUUGUUCAAGUUAUUUGGUCUAAUGUGUAAACAAUAAGCUUGAACAACACAGAUAACGAUUAAUCUGGAGCAAUUGAUGUUUGAAUUGGAGUAAUCGUCAUUUCUCUGAAUAGACAACUCGUUGCUCUAGGUGCAUAUGAGCUAAGAUUUGAAUAGAACAGAUAACGGUUUACUGCAGAGCGAUUAAUGUUUGAAAUGAAGAUAUCCUUGUCUCUGUGUAUACACAUGCUCAUUGGAUUUUAGUUUUGCGUGUUGUAUAGAGGUAAUAGGUGUGAAAUUUGUUUUAGUGUUUCGUUCUAGGUGUAUAUGUAGUGAGAAUGAAUAGCAUAGAUAAGGAUUAAAUCAAGGAGCAAUUGAAGUUUGAAAUGGAGUAAUCCUUGUUUAUUUGUGUACAUGUGUGUGUUCAUUGGGUUUUAGUUUUGCAUGCUUUGUAUGCCAUGGAACUGUUCGAGUAUUUUGGUUAGGUGUAUGCAAAGCUAACUUGUAUAAUAGUGGAGGUGUACGCAAGUUGGCCUAGACACUUUUGGUCUCAACAAAUAAAGAAAUAAUACUAUAGCACAUAUGAUGAUUUCUCUAGAUGAUUAAAUAAAACUUGAAAUGGAAUAACUAGAGUUUCUUCAUUCACCUGUGCAUCAUACAAGUCAAUCUGAUGAACCAGUGAAACUUUUUGAAAAUGAGAUUGAUGUUUUUGAUAUAUAGGAAACAGGAGUCAUAAGUACUUUGAGCCUUUACAUGUAAUCCAGGGAGAAAUGAUUUGUCCGAAAAUCCAGUAUUUGAUUGCCAAUCAACAAGCUAUGUUGGUUGGGUGGAUGUGUAUUGUGGUGGCUGUGUGAUGGUGAAAUUCUCUCUCAGUCGACAUGCAUAAAUAUAGAUUUUGAAUAACAGCAUUUCAGAGCCUGUGUUGAGUUUGUUGGAGUAAAAAGUUGAAGGUAAUGAGGAGAAAACUAAUAGAUUGAUAAUAGGAUUCCAUAGAGUAGAGAAAAUGCAAACCACCUCAGGAGCUUAAGUGGUUAAAAACUUGCACUAAUAUAAGUACAAAAAUAGACAAGGUAAUAAUGCAAUUGUGCAAGAAAUGUGAUUUAUUUUUUUGCUAAUUGAGCUUCAUAGCAGCAGUUGAUUUUGAUAAUAGCGUGUUACAAAAAGGGGUAGUCAAUGUAGAAUUACGAGUGUGGUGUUCUUGCUCAAUUUGCAUGAUUGCACACUGUAGGUAUAAUUACUCUAUGUUAGUACAAGCUUCUAUAAGUGCAAAAUCUCAGUGGCUUAGCAGCCUGAGUUUUUUGCUUCUGGUUCGUAACUCCCAGCUCAUACUAGUUUU